rnacentral:rRNA from 1 species
GAAUUUUGGACAAUGGGGGCAACCCUGAUCCAGCCAUCCCGCGUGUGCGAUGAAGGCCUUCGGGUUGUAAAGCACUUUUGGCAGGGAAGAAAAGGCUCUGGCUAAUACCUAGAGCUGCUGAGGGUACCGGCAGAAUAAGCACGGGCUAACGACGUGCGAGCAGCCGCGGUAAGACGUAGGGUGCAAGCGUUAAUCGGAAUUACUGGGCGUAAAGCGUGCGCAGGCGGUUCAGCAAGAAGGAUGUGAAAUCCCGGGGCUUAACCUUGGAACUGCAUUCUUAACUGCCGGGCUAGAGUAUGUCAGAGGGGGGUAGAAUUCCGCGUGUAGCAGUGAAAUGCGUAGAGAUGCGGAGGAAUACCGAUGGCGAAGGCAGCCCCCUGGGAUAAUACUGACGCUCAUGCACGAAAGCGUGGGGAGCAAAC